GCCGUGGCUCAGUUGUAGAGCACUUGCCUAGCAUGCAUGAGGCACUGGGUUCAAUCCUCAGCACAACA
rnacentral:tRNA from 1 species